rnacentral:rRNA from 1 species
CAUGCAGUCGAGCGAGAAGGUGUAGCAAUACACUUGUAAAGCGGCGAACGGGUGAGGAAUGCAUGGGUAACCUACCCUCGAGUGGGGAAUAACUAGCCGAAAGGUUAGCUAAUACCGCAUACGUUUCCGGAACUUCGGUUACGGAAAGAAAGCAAUACCGUGGGUAUUGCGCUCAUGGAUGGGCUCAUGUCCUAUCAGCUUGUUGGUGAGGUAACGGCUCACCAAGGCUUCGACGGGUAGCUGGUCUGAGAGGACGAUCAGCCACACUGGCACUGCGACACGGGCCAGACUCCUACGGGAGGCAGCAGUAAGGAAUAUUGCGCAAUGGACGAAAGUCUGACGCAGCGACGCCGCGUGGGGGAUGAAGGUCUUCGGAUUGUAAACCCCUUUCGGGAGGGAAGAUGGAGUGGGUAACCACUUGGACGGUACCUCCAGAAGCAGCCACGGCUAACUUCGUGCCAGCAGCCGCGGUAAUACGAAGGUGGCAAGCGUUGUUCGGAUUCACUGGGCGUACAGGGAGCGUAGGCGGUUGAGUAAGCCCUCCGUGAAAUCUCCGGGCCUAACCCGGAAAGUGCAGGGGGUACUGCUCAGCUAGAGGAUGGGAGAGGAGCGCGGAAUUCCCGGUGUAGCGGUGAAAUGCGUAGAGAUCGGGAGGAAGGCCGGUGGCGAACGCGGCGCUCUGGAACAUUUCUGACGCUGACGCUCGAAAGCGUGGGGAGCAAACAGGAUUAGAUACCCUGGUAGUCCACGCCUUAAACUAUGGAUACUAAGUGUCGGCGGUUUACCGCCCGGUGCCGCAGC